rnacentral:rRNA from 1 species
AUUGAACGCUGGCGGCAGGCCUAACACAUGCAAGUCGAGCGGAUGAAGGGAGCUUGCUCCUGGAUUCAGCGGCGGACGGGUGAGUAAUGCCUAGGAAUCUGCCUGGUAGUGGGGGAUAACGUCCGGAAACGGGCGCUAAUACCGCAUACGUCCUGAGGGAGAAAGUGGGGGAUCUUCGGACCUCACGCUAUCAGAUGAGCCUAGGUCGGAUUAGCUAGUUGGUGGGGUAAAGGCCUACCAAGGCGACGAUCCGUAACUGGUCUGAGAGGAUGAUCAGUCAAACUGGAAAUUGGAAAAGGGCCCAGACCCCAAGGGGGGGAGGAGGGGGGAAACUUUGGAAAAGGGGGAAAAGCCUGCUGCAGACAGCCCGGGGGGGGAAAAAAGGUUUCGGAAUUGUAAAGCCCUUUAAGUGGGGAGGAAGGAGAUGAAGUUAAUUAUUCGCUGUUUUACCUUUACCAACAAAAAAAGCACCGGUAAACUCGGG